rnacentral:rRNA from 1 species
UAUGUAGGGAGCAAGCGUUGUCCGGAAUCAUUGGGCGUAAAGCGCGCGUAGGUGGCUUCGUAAGUCCGUUGUGAAAGUCAAAGGCUCAACCUUUGAAAGCCGAUGGAUACUGCGGAGCUAGAGUACGGAAGAGGCGAGUGGAAUUCCUGGUGUAGCGGUGGAAUGCGCAGAUAUCAGGAGGAACACCAAUAGCGAAGGCAGCUCGCUGGGACGUUACUGACACUGAGGCGCGAAAGCGUGGGGAGCAAACAGG